GGAUAGGUUAAAUGCAGAGCACCAAUUCCGAAUAUGGGUUACCAUACUUGGCAAAAUGUCAUGAUUUUCACUUUCAGUAAUUGCUAGUGAAGAGUUUUGCGACCUUGUUUUUGUGGUGCCACCAGCAAAUCAGGGUUAUUGUCUCAUGGUAUUGGUUGUGUUUUAUUUUUUUUUACAGCUUCAAAAUGAUUAGUCACACACAUUCACAGCUCAGGUGAUUGGUUCAAAAACCUGGAAUGAAGUGCCCACGGGCCAUGGCAAACCAGCUGAUCAUAAGGAUGAAUGGGAUUUCUUCUGAUCUUUCUUUCUACAGUGGCCAAGUAGGAGCCGCUAAACAUCUGACUUGACAUCUGAUAUGCUGCAGUUGACCUCAACACAGCUCAUCUAACCUUUGGCCCAAAUAAAAGGUGUGAUAACCUAGAUGGGUCCAGUUCUGAGUGAGGUUCAUGUGAAGGGACCCCAUGGCUUCCAGAUGUCACAUGACGGCAAUAAAAGAGUAA